rnacentral:rRNA from 1 species
GACGAACGCUGGCGGCGUGCCUAACACAUGCAAGUAGAACGCUGAAGGAGGAGCUUGCUCUGCUGGACGAGUUGCGAACGGGUGAGUAACGCGUAGGUAACCUGCCUGGUAGUGGGGGAUAACUAUUGGAAACGAUAGCUAAUACCGCAUAAGAGCAGAUGUUGCAUGACAUUGGCUUCAAAGGUGCAAUUGCAUCACUACCAGAUGGAGCUGCGUUGUGUUAGCUUGUGGGGGGGGGAACGGCUCACCAAGGCGACGAUACAUAGUCGACCUGGGAGGGUGGUCCGCCCCCCUGGGACUGGGGCCCGGCCCAGGCUCCCUCGGGGGGCAGCCGGAGGGGAACUUCGGACAUGGGCGGAAGGCUGACCGCGCAACGCCGCGUGAGUGGAGAAGGUUUUCGGGUCGUAAAGCUCUGUUGUGAGGGGAGAACGAGUGUGAGAGUGGAAAGUUCACUCUGUGACGGUAUCUUACCAGAAAGCACCGGCUAACUACGUG